rnacentral:rRNA from 1 species
UACGUAGGGGGCAAGCGUUAUCCGGAUUUAUUGGGCGUAAAGAGAACGCAGGCGGUCUUUUAAGUCUGAUGUGAAAGCCUUCGGCUCAACCGUAGUAAGCCUUUGAAACUGGGGAACUUGAGUGCAGGAGAGGAGAGUGGAAUUCCUAGUGUAGCGGUGAAAUGCGUAGAUAUUAGGAGGAACACCAGUUGCGAAGGCGGCUCUCUCGGACUGUAAGCUGACACUGAGGCACGGAAA